GACGAACGCUGGCGGCGUGCUUAACACAUGCAAGUCGAACGGAAAGGCCCUGCUUUUGUGGGGUGCUCGAGUGGCGAACGGGUGAGUAACACGCGAGUAACCUGCCCUUGACUUUCGGAUAACUUCAGGAAACUGGGGCUAAUAUCGGAUAGGAUCUCUUGCUGCACGGUGGGGGUUGGAAAGUUUCGGCGGUUGGGGAUGGACUCGCGGCUUAUCAGCUUGUUGGUGGGGUAGUGGCUUACCAAGGGUUUGACGGGUAGCCGGCAUGGGAGGGGGACCGGCCACAUUGGGACUGCGAUACGGCCCAGACUCCUACGGGAGGCAGCAGUGGGGAAUAUUGCACAAUGGGCGGGAGCCUGAUGCAGCAACGCCGCGUGCGGGAUGACGGCCUUCGGGUUGUAAACCGCUUUCGCCUGUGACGAAGCGUGAGUGACGGUAAUGGGUAAAGAAGCACCGGCUAACUACGUG
rnacentral:rRNA from 1 species